UUGUGUAUCCCUCCGUGGUCCAUUCGAAAGUAGUGCCUAUUUCUAAAGAGUUCCUUUUCUCUUCUUGAAUAUAAGCCAUUUAACAAUGUGAGACAUGACUUUUGUGGUUAUUUGUAAUAUCCUGUAUGUGUCUGGAGUACUUUGAUGCCUUGGAUUGGAAGCUAACUUAAAAGAUGAACUUUUGAGGGUGUGUUUUCUAUUGUGUGGGGCUUUUGUCGAAAUUAGGAUUCCGAAACACGUUUUUCUACGGUGGGUUCAUUCGACAGCGAUUUACUUUCUUAGAAGUUGCGAGACGGUAUGUUUUUGAUUGCAAUUAUUGGAAGAUGACAGAUCCAUCUUUAAAAUGAUACCAGGUUCGGAAAAAUUGAUACGUCGAAAAGGCAAGAAAAAUGCAGUGAAAGUUGUCAGUUUUAUAAUGGGACCCUAUGGGAAUCGGAAUUAGUGUAAUAUAACCUUUAAAAAGCACAUUUACUGCAAUGUCAAGGUCACAUGGAUUCGUCUGCAAGCGAGACAAGUAGAACAUGAAUUUUAAUUAAUGUUUUGAUGAUUUGGGUGCUAAAAUAGAUGAGAGGUGUCAAUAUUUUGGUCCAAAUGGAUGUUUUAGGUGGUUUUAGACGGUUCCGUAUGGGUGGGGGACCUGGUAUUGACAAGUAAGGGUAACAUUUCCAACAAAUCUUAAAUGUAAAUAUUAUUAUGUCCAUAGAUUGAAGUUUCAGGUGGAGAGUAAGAUGAAAAAUAUGCAAAAUUACAUGCAUGCAACCCAUUUAUGCCAUUUUUCUCUUUGUUUGUAGGCCUGACCGUUUGUCCUUGAGCCGUAGAUGGUCAACAAUCCGCUAGCUGUCUUGCUCUGACUGGUGCACUGGACAUGAUUUCAAUAGUCAGCCAGACCAUGAUUGAGCUUAAGGAUUGUGCUGCGGAUGCAGCCUGUGCAGUUCCGGGAGAAAGUCACUGUCUCGGGCAAUGCGGUCUGGUAUCAGGUCUGGAUGAUCCUUGCCUGACUGCGGGUUUGUGUACACCUCAAUCCGACUCUGUGUCCUGAACAGAGGCCGCAGUGGUGCAGCGCUUGUGGACGAUCCAUCAACAUCCUGAAAGGUCAACACUACACUAAGCUGGGAAAAUUGAUCCUGAUAGUCAUCCCCAGGUAGUGGAAUGAAUGUUCACUGAACUACAGAGGAAUCACACCCAAAUGACUUUCCUGCCACGACAUUAGUGUGGCCACUCGCGUAGGAAUUCCUUAGCAAACAUGCUCUUUUGCAUGGUGACUGUGGACAUUUUUGCAAAACUUAUGCUUUCAACACUGGAUUUUAAAGAGAAAUGUCGCUAACAGGACUUAUUUAUAUGAGAGAGACUAUCUGGAUGCGCAUUAAGUGUCACUUUGUGUCGUAAGCUGUUGAAGGAGCGAUUUGCGCCUUUUUAAGUGUUAAUUUUGGGUAGCCGGCUUGUAUCAGCUUGAAAGCUGAAAAUUAUGCCUCUCAUCAUAAUAGCAUUAAUUUUUGUAAUUGCAAUGUGUAUGUUUAGAUUGUAAGUGAAGCUUUUAAUAAUAAUUUUCUUAAAAAACAUGAUUUUA